rnacentral:rRNA from 1 species
CCUGGCUCAGGACGAACGCUGGCGGCGUGGAUUAGGCAUGCAAGUCGAACGGUAGAGAUCCUUCGGGAUCUUGAGAGUGGCGAACGGGUGAGUAACGCGUAGGUAAUCUACCCUCAAAUUGGGGACAACCCAGGGAAACUUGGGCUAAUACCGAAUGAGAGUACAUUUUGUUAUGUAUUUAAAAGAUGGCAGUAAUGCUGUUGUUUGAGGAUGAGCUUGCGUCCCAUUAGCUAGUUGGUGAGGUAACGGCUCACCAAGGCGAUGAUAGGUAGGCGGCCUUAACGGGUGGUCGCCCACACUGGGAUUGAGAUACGGCCCAGACUCCUACGGGAGGCAGCAGUCGAGAAUAGUCUACAAUGGUCGAAAGACUGAUAGUGCGACGCCGCGUGAACGAAGAAGCCCUUCGGGGUGUAAAGUUCUUUUAUAUGUGAGCAAUGCCGGAUAGGUGAAUAGUCUGUUCGGAGCGAUAUUAGCAUAUGAAUAAGCAACGGCUAACUCCGUGCCAGCAGCCGCGGUAACACGGGGGUUGCAAGCGUUGUCCGGAAUUACUAGGCGUAAAGGGCAGGUAGGCGGAUCUAUAAGUUUAAUGUUAAAGGCGACGGCUUACCCGUCGUAAGGCGUUAGAUACUGUAGAUCUGGAAUACGGUUGGGGAAGACAGAAUUCCUGGUGUAGCGGUGGAAUGCGCAGAUAUCAGGAGGAAUACCGAAGGCGAAGGCAGUCUUCUAAGCCGUUAUUGACGCUAAACUGCGAAGGUGUGGGUAUCAAACAGGAUUAGAUACCCUGGUAGUCCACACAGUAAACGAUAAUCACUAGGUGUCGGGUUCGUAGAGAAUUCGGUGCCGUAGCUAACGCGAUAAGUGAUUCGCCUGGGGAGUACGAUCGCAAGGUUGAAACUCAAAGGAAUUGACGGGGGCCCGCA